GGCCACUCUGAGCCACCCUCUCAAUCUGUACCCUCAGCCUCUGCAACAGAGCCUGGCGUGGUGUUGCCCCACUGCAUGUUUGUUGACUGACUGGCUGAUGGAUGCAGAGCCCGUCCUUCCUAAUGGUUCAGACUCAGGCGUCAUCAGCCCAGAUGGCUCCGAGGGUGGGUUCUCUCUUAGUUACCGUGUCCAGAGCCCACCUCCCUCACACCCACACAGCGCUUCCUAAAGGCAGGGACAGGAGCUGGCCUCCCUCGCCUGCUGGCAUGGGGCUGGACACAGGAGGAAGUGGCGUGGGGGCUGCCUGAGGGGAGUGAGGCGGCAGGAUAGCUUCCCCAGCAGGUCUCUGGCUCAGGUCCAGGUAUCUCCUCCUCCCCAUACCUCUGCCUCUCGCCUCCGCUCAGAAAAGCAGGUGCCCUUAAGAGCCAUCUCCACCCCCAUGUAAACUGCACACAGGAAGGGAGAGGCCACUCCGACUGCUCUGAGGUCCAGCACCCCCGGCCACCCCAGGACUCCCGAAGAGGCUGCUAGGUCGGCCUGCCCAAAGAGCGGUGAGGAGCGUAUGUGAAGAGCCCCAGUCUUGAGGAGCAGCCUGUAUCUGGAGAGAGGGGAGCCCCGGACCAGAGGUGGGGGACAGGAAGCCAUCGCCCCACCCUGCCUCCUCCCCCACCACAGGUACCAGGCCCGGAAACCACGGAAAGGGGAACUUGGUCUUUUCUUGUUUUGCUCUCAACCCCUUCCUGUCUCCAAGCCCAGGGCAGCUGCCCCGCUCACCCCACCCUGCCCUCGUCCCCACCCUCCCCGAGACUCAAUUCCGUGGGGAGUCGGGCCCUCGACACUGUGCUGACCCCCGGCCACCCACCUCCAUCUUGGCCGCGGUGGUCCCUAGCCCUCGCCUCCGCAGAGCGCUCUGGGGCCCCGGCGGCCCCCACUCCAAGCAGCGUCCCCCCACGGGCUGCUGCGCCCGCUACCUGGCCCCGGCGCUGGCUGGGUCGCGGUGACAGCCGCGCGCCCCCGCAGCCCGCGGCUCCCACGCGCGCGCCGCCCCACAGGUGGCCCUCGCCCCGGCCCACCCGCGCCUCCCAGGCCCAGCCUCACCUGCUGCCGAGAGAGGACAGUGAUCCCCCAAAAGCCGGAGGUGGAGGAGGAGGAGGAAGAGGAGGAAGGAGCUGGAGGAGCCGGGGACUCGCCCGCUGAAGAUGCUCUUGUCAAGACAAUGAAUGAGAAGCAGCCGUGCGCCCGCCUCCGGGGUGGCCGCGCCCCUUGGG
rnacentral:lncRNA from 1 species